rnacentral:rRNA from 1 species
GACGAACGCUGGCGGCGUGCUUAACACAUGCAAGUCGAACGGAAAGGCCAUGCUUUUGUGGGGUGUUCGAGUGGCGAAAGGGUGAGUAACACGUGAGUAACCUGCCCUUGACUUUGGGAUAACUUCAGGAAACUGGGGCUAAUACAGGAUAGGAGCUCCUGCUGCAUGGUGGGGGUUGGAAAGUUUCGGCGGUUGGGGAUGGACUCGCGGCUUAUCAGCUUGUUGGUGGGGUAGUGGCUUACCAAGGCAUUGACGGGUAGCCGGCCUGAGAGGGUGACCGGCCACAUUGGGACUGAGAUACGGCCCGGACUCCUACGGGAGGCAGCAGUGGGGAAUAUUGCACAAUGGGCGGAAGCCUGAUGCAGCAACGCCGCGUGCGGGAUGACGGCCUUCGGUUUGUAAACCGCUUUCGCCUGUGACGAAGCGUGAGUGACGGUAAUUGGUAAAGAAGCACCGGCUAACUACGUG